CCAACCGCCGAUCGAAUAGUUACUACGGUCGUUCCCAUUGUCUUUGGACGGUGUUGCCAUCCGCAACGGGUCCUUAGCCCUUCCCCCUCCCACCCCAAUACGUAAUCUCCGUACAUUCAUAGCGGCCUGCGUCUCACCUUAUGAGGGAGCGACAUCUUAGGUAUUCCAAACACGACAUGGUAUGAAACUGAAAAUGACAUCAAGUAACAGAAAGGGUUUAGAGCCAAAAUGUGAGAAUUUGUACCCAGAACAGAACUGAACUGAAGGGUUCAGCCAGCCUGCUUAUAGAG